rnacentral:rRNA from 1 species
AAUGAACGUUGGCGGCGUGGAUUAGGCAUGCAAGUCGCGCGACAAGGAACCUUCGGGUUCUGGAGGAGCGGCAAACGGGGUAGUAAGGCAUCGGAACGUACCCUCUUGUUGGGAAUAGCCGCGGGAAACUGCGAGUAAUGCCCAAUAAUCCCUACGGGGCAAAGGGUCCGCCGCAGGAGGAGCGGCCGAUGUGAUACCAGCUAGUUGGUGAGGUAAUGGCUCACCAAGGGCUUAGACGUCUAGGGGGUNUGAGAGCAUGGCCCCCACACUGGGACUGAGAUACUGCCCAGACACCUACGGGUGGCUGCAGUCGAGAAUCUUCGGCAAUGGGCGCAAGCCUGACCGAGCAACGCCGCGUGCGGGAUGAAGGCCCUU